GGAUAUAAUUCAAUGGUAGAGCACUUGCCUAGUAUGCACAAGGCCCUGGAUUCAAACCCCAGUACUCCC
rnacentral:tRNA from 1 species